rnacentral:misc_RNA from 1 species
UUCAGGUCCAUUUGAGCCUUAUAUACACACGUUUUUUCUUGCAUGUAUAUUCACGAUUGAAUGUGCGUGUCUUUUAUUCGAGUUUUUGUGUCUGUGUUCUUUAUAUUUUAUGUUUAUAGAUCGAUUCGGGUUCUUUCUAAUUUGUCAAAUUCUAAAGGUCUUGGACUUGGGGUUUUGAAGAAGAUGGGUUUUGUGGUGCAGUUAUGUUGUUUACUUUAUCGGAUAUGUACUGUUUCGUUGCUUGGAAGAUGUGGGAAUGUGAAAGAAAUUUGCAUUUUGCUUUUUCUUUUUAAAAUCUUUAUGAGUUUAUUUGGACUCAGGAAAGAACCUGAGUUUAUUUUUGGAGCAGACGUUGUGUCAUAGAAAUACAAAGAGGAGAUUAAUACCAAGAAUUUUGUUUUUAUAAAUAUAAAUUCCAAAUUGUUACGCAUUUGAGGCUACAAGUGGG